rnacentral:rRNA from 1 species
GUGAGGGAAAGGUGAAAAGAACCCCGGGAGGGGAGUGAAAGAGAACCUGAAACCAUAUGCCUACAGGCAGUCAGAGUUCCUUCUAUGCCAUGCUGUGGCGUAGAGUGGGAAUGAUGGCGUGCCUAUUGCAGAAGGAACCGGCGAGUCACUGUCGCUGGCCUUGGUUAAGGCCGAGAGGCCGUAGCCGCAGCGAAAGCGAGUCUGAAGAGGGCGUAGUCGGCGGCAGUGGACCCGAAACCGCGUGAUCUCCCCAUGGCCAGGGUGAAGCGAGGGUUACACCUCGUGGAGGCCCGAACCCGUUGGUGGUGCAAUACCAUGGGAUGAGCUGUGGGGAGGGGUGAAAUGCCAAUCGAACGCGGAGAUAGCUGGUUCUCCCCGAAAUGCAUAUAGGUGCAGCCUCGGGAAGAGCGUGUCGGAGGUAGAGCACUGAAUGGGCUAGGGGCCAUACCCGGUUACCAAACCCAACCAAACUCCGAAUGCCGGCACGUAUGCCCGGGAGUGAGACGGCGGGGGAUAAGCUUCGUCGUCGAAAGGGAAACAGCCCAGACCGCCGGCUAAGGUCCCAAAAGCAGGCUUAGUGGGAAAGGAAGUGCUUUGGCACAGACAACCAGGAGGUUGGCUUAGAAGCAGCCACCCUUUAAAGAGUGCGUAACAGCUUACUGGUCGAUGUCAGGGCGCGCCGACAAUGUAACGGGGCUAUGCCUGCUACCGAAGCUGCGGAUGUGGAAACACAUGGUAGGGGAGCGUCGCGUGUGCGGUGAAGCAUGAGGGGAACCCCGUGUGGAGCGCACGCGAGAGCGAAUGCCGGUAUGAGUAGCGAGAAGGGCAGUGAGAAUCUGCCCCGCCGAAAGCCUAAGGGUUCUUAAGGAAGGUUCGUCCCCUUGAGUUUAGCCGGGCCUAAGGUGAGGCCGAAAGGCGUAGCCGAUGGACAGCUGGUUUAUAUUCCAGCGCCACCGGAUGAUGAUUGAGCGAGGGGGGGACGUCCUCGCAAGCGCUGAGCCCGGGACUGGAAGACCGGGUUCUCCUGUAGGGAGUGAGCGCAGGUAAAACCGUGCUCAACAUACUCCUGGCAGGAGACGAACCAACCCGCAAGGGGCGGUGAAGCGGUGGGAGCGAGGGCCAAGAAAAGCCCCUAGUGAGUCAUCUGGUGACCGUACCGCAAACCGACACAGGUAGGCGAGGAGAAGAUCCUCAGGCGUGCGAGAGAACCCUCGUUAAGGAACUCGGCAAUCUCACCCCGUAACUUCGGGAGAAGGGGUGCCCUGGCUGGACAGGAUUGAAACAUCCUGGAUUGGCUGGGGUUGCAACAAAGAGGCUCGAGCGACUGUUUAACAAAAACACAGGUCUCUGCAAAGCCGAAAGGCGACGUAUAGGGGCUGACACCUGCCCAACGCCAGAAGGUUAAAAGGAGGGGUUAGGCGCAAGCCGAAGCUCUGAAUUGAAGCCCUGGUGAGUGGCGGCCGUAACUAUAACGGUCCUAAGGUAGCGAAAUUCCUUGUCGGGUAAGU